rnacentral:misc_RNA from 1 species
GGUCAUAUGGGUAUAUUGCUCCUGGUAUGAUUUUGCACCUUUCAGAUUUUAAUAAAACUAUCAAGAUGUAGGACUAUAUAUAUUUCUUUUAGGCUUACAUUUAUCCUUAAGUUAAUUUUCUUAAAACAUUAGAGGUUGGUUUAGUUAAAUGCGACAGUUUACCUGAAAUUUUCUCUCUGUGACUAUAACUGACCUCUAGUUUACCUCGUAUUCAUGGCAGAGUAUGC